rnacentral:rRNA from 1 species
UGCUUAACACAUGCAAGUCGAACGAUGAAGCCCUUCGGGGUGGAUUAGUGGCGAACGGGUGAGUAACACGUGGGCAAUCUGCCCUUCACUCUGGGACAAGCCCUGGAAACGGGGUCUAAUACCGGAUAACACUCUGUCCCGCAUGGGACGGGGUUAAAAGCUCCGGCGGUGAAGGAUGAGCCCGCGGCCUAUCAGCUUGUUGGUGGGGUAAUGGCCUACCAAGGCGACGACGGGUAGCCGGCCUGAGAGGGCGACCGGCCACACUGGGACUGAGACACGGCCCAGACUCCUACGGGAGGCAGCAGUGGGGAAUAUUGCACAAUGGGCGAAAGCCUGAUGCAGCGACGCCGCGUGAGGGAUGACGGCCUUCGGGUUGUAAACCUCUUUCAGCAGGGAAGAAGCGCAAGUGACGGUACCUGCAGAAGAAGCACCGGCUAACUACGUGCCAGCAGCCGCGGUAAUACGUAGGGUGCGAGCGUUGUCCGGAAUUAUUGGGCGUAAAGAGCUCGUAGGCGGCUUGUCACGUCGGAUGUGAAAGCUCGGGGCUUAACCCCGAGUCUGCAUUCGAUACGGGCUAGCUAGAGUGUGGUAGGGGAGAUCGGAAUUCCUGGUGUAGCGGUGAAAUGCGCAGAUAUCAGGAGGAACACCGGUGGCGAAGGCGGAUCUCUGGGCCAUUACUGACGCUGAGGAGCGAAAGCGUGGGGAGCGAACAGGAUUAGAUACCCUGGU